AUGAACGCUGGCGGCGUGGAUAAGGCAUGCAAGUCGAACGGACUUUUCUUCUUCAGAGAUUGCGAUUACAUCAAGAUCAAAGAUAUUGAAAAGUUAGUGGCGAACGAGGUAGUAACACGUGGGAACGAACCUAGAAGUCGCGAAUAAUUCAUCGAAAGGUGGACUAAUACGCGAUAGUCUCUCCGGAGUAAAGUUUUAACGCUUCUAGAUCGGCCUGCGAAGUAUCAGCUAGUUGGUGAGGUAAUGGCUCACCAAGGCUAUGACGCUUAGGGGACCUGAGAGGGUGACCCCCACCGAUGGUACUGAGACACGGACCAUACACCUACGGGUGGCUGCAGUCGAGAAUCUUCCACAAUGGACGAAAGUCUGAUGGAGCGACGCCGCGUGAUUGAUGAAGUCCUUCGGGACGUAAAGAUCUUUUAUGAGGGAAGAAGUUUAUUGACGGUACCUCAUGAAUAAGGGGUUGCUAAACUCGU
rnacentral:rRNA from 1 species